rnacentral:rRNA from 1 species
AGAAUCAACGCUGGCGGCGUGCCUAACACAUGCAAGUCGAACGCGGUUGCCUCGCAAGGGGCAACUGAGUGGCGAACGGGUGAGUAACACGUGGGUGACCUACCUUCGAGUGGGGGGAUAACGUCCCGAAAGGGACGCUAAUACCGCAUAACAUCCUUCCUUUGAACAGGUGGAGAUCAAAGCUGGGGAUCGUAAGACCUGGCGUUUGAAGAGGGGCCCGCGUCCGAUUAGCUAGUUGGUGAGGUAACGCCCACCAAGGCGACGAUC